AAAGCUGUGCGUGCGUUUGUGGUCCAAACAAAAGAGCUGGAAAAUCAAUAAUUCUUGCAGGGGAUGUAACCUUGGCAACAAUGUAAUAGUACCAUUCCUUUCCCUCUCCACACAAUUUUAUAGAGAGAGAAAGAGAGAUUUACUUAGCCCUUAAGGCGAACGUGGGUAUUUGACACGUGGAUAUCUCCAUCACCGUUGAUAGUGCUCCUAUGUGCAUGAGUUGUAAAGAGCACGUACGUGUUUUUAUUCUAUCAGAUUCAGAUACCA
rnacentral:misc_RNA from 1 species